GACGAACGCUGGCGGCGUGCUUAACACAUGCAAGUCGAACGGUAAGGCCCUUCGGGGUACACGAGUGGCGAACGGGUGAGUAACACGUGGGUGAUCUGCCCUGCACUUCGGGAUAAGCCUGGGAAACUGGGUCUAAUACCGGAUAGGACCCUGGGAUGCAUGUCCUGGGGUGGAAAGCUUUUGCGGUGUGGGAGGGGCCCGCGGCCUAUCAGCUUGUUGGUGGGGUGAUGGCCUACCAAGGCGACGACGGGUAGCCGGCCUGAGAGGGUGACCCGCCACACUGUGACUGGGAUACGGCCACGACGCCUACGGGAUGCAGCAGUCGGGAAUAUUGCACAAUGGGCGCAAGCCUGAUGCAGCGACGCCGCGUGAGGGAUGACGGCCUUCGGGUUGUAAACCUCUUUCAGCACCGACGAAGCGCAAGUGACGGUAGGUGCAGAAGAAGGACCGGCCAACUACGUGCCAGCAGCCGCAGUAA
rnacentral:rRNA from 1 species